GUCUCCCAGUGUAAACCUACCGUUUUCAGUCCCACUUCACAGUGAUACCGAAUUACAGUUAUUCACGUAAUUUGUAUCGACGUCUAUAGGAAACAGGAAAGUCUAUAAUCUAAAAGGAUUUCCUUUGGUUUUUAAAUUAUCGGUGCACAUCUACGCUCGCACAAAAGAAGAUUUUCAUUUUAUUCGUGUAGCAAUAACCGUCAAAACCAUUGGUGUAGUCAUCGUGCCAUUGUAGCAGGCUCACAUUUUAUUUGAAAAUUGCAAUUAAAUCCGAAAAAAGGCUUUUAAAGGGUCGUUACGUUAACAAAUCUUACAAACUGUUUAGAGGAUAAGUGCAGUCAAAUACGCCUCGUUGCCAUAGGGAAAGGGUACGAUUUAUCCUGCAUCGUCCAUUGUUUCUUUUUAUGGCAUUUUUUUCUGUGAUUUCGAACCCAUCCUCUCUUUUUACCUUAACCGGUGUGCAGUGUAGCCUUGUGUCGAGAUUCGAACGCCUAUUAAGUUUGAAAACAAAAUUAAGGUCGUGUCUCGUAAAUCAUUUUAGCUACGAGAUAAAAGAAUGCCGAAAAAAGGGGGACAAGAAAAUUUUGCAAAUGAUAUAUCUGAUUUGGGUGAAACACAAAUAACCCAAUCCGACGACUCCUAUUUACCUAACGACCAAUCACCUGUGGCUAACACAAGAGUGUUCCGCCGCCGGUGGCUAAUGCUCUUGAUUUUCGUCUUGGUUUUUAUGACGAACGCGUUCCAGUGGAUUCAAUUCUCCAUCAUCAACAAUUUAAUUACAAAAUAUUAUGGCGUGGAAAGUUCUACGGUUGACUGGACGAGCCUCGUUUUUAUGGUCGUUUACAUUCCGUUUAUCAUCCCCGGAGCGUGGAUUAUGGACAGACUGGGAUUACGGGUUACCGUUUUGUUGGGUGCCAUUGGGACCACUUCUGCAGCCUGGAUCAACGCCGUUGGCGUUGCACCUGACCUCUUUUACGUGGUUCUCAUAGGCCAAACAGUCGCGUCUGUUGCCCAGAUUUUCUUAUUGGGCGUUUCGCCAAACGUUGCAGCCGUUUGGUUUGGUGCAGAUCAAGUCUCUUUGGCCUGUUCUAUCGGGGUUUUUGGAAAUCAGAUAGGUGUGGCUUUGGGCUUUCUAAUACCUCCAAUGCUCGUACAUGAUCACGAAAACCCGGAAGACAUUGGCACAGAUUUGAGAUUUAUGCUCUAUAUCAUUGCUGGAUUCUGCACAGCGUUGCUUUUUGCUGUCUUUUUCGGUUUCCAAGCCAAACCUCCUGUACCUCCUAGCGGGGCCCAAUGUUGCUCGGCGAAACAAUCGUCUGGCUCCUUUUCAGGAUAUUUUACAUCAUUGAAAAAGAUUAUUACGAAUCAUGGUUUUAUGCUACUUUUCCUUUCGUACGGUAUCAAUGUCGGCGUCUUUUACGCCAUGUCCACUUUGUUGAAUCAGACGGUCCUGCUUCACUUUCCGGGUGAAGAGAAAAAUGCUGGUCGAAUCGGGUUGACUAUUGUUGUUUGUGGUAUGUUUGGAUCUGUUCUUUUCGGUGCAAUUCUCGACAAAACCCAUAAAUUCAAAGAAACAACUUUGGCGACGUACGUUUGCGCUCUGGCUGGAAUGGUUGCUUAUACUUUCACUUUCCAAUUAGAAUAUAUUCCCGUCACUUUCAUUGCUGCUGGAACUGCUGGCUUCUUCAUGACAGGAUAUCUGCCAGUUGGUUUUGAAUUUGGAACCGAAUUGACUUAUCCGGAGCCGGAAGUCACUUCUGCUGGAUUGUUGAACGCGUCAGCUCAGAUCUUUGGCAUUAUCUUUACACUUUUAGGAGGUUGGCUAUUGGCUACUUAUGGCUCGAUGGUUUGCAAUGGCUUUUUAUCAGCCGCUUUGUUGAUUGGCUUCGUCAUGACGUUCCCUAUCCGGUCAGAUCUUCGCCGACAGAAAGCCAAUCGAGAAUCUAUGAUUGUUGUGGCAGGAGGAGCAAAAGACAAUCCUUUACCAGUUUCCGCUUGAACUAACAUAUCGAUCUUCAUAAAAUGAUGUGAAACUAAGGAAAGCAGUUGUCUUUAGCAUGUUGAUCUAUAUGAAGGGUACAACGCGUGAAAUUCACAUUUUGGAUAAUGUCUUUCUAACACGUAAGAAUUUAUAGUUUCAGUUGUCAGUCAAACCAAGAUUUUACUUUGAAGUUCCUUCCACCUCUUCUUUAAUUUUCUGCAAGAGCAAUCGACGAUACUGGAUGGUACGUUCAUCGACCUCGGGAGAUGCUUCACCGGCUAAAGCUGCACGAGCCGCACGUCCGGAUCUCGGUCUAGACGUUCCGAACGCUACUUUAUUGCCUGCUGCUUCUCUAUCGGACAGCUCUUGUUGAUGUAACUGAAGUUCCCGUUCUUUUUUCUUUUGGCUGAGAAUCUUAUCACGCUGAGCGCGUAAUAGAACGCGGCGGCGUUCUACAUCUUCCGGAUCGGGGACUUUUGUUGCCACUAAAUGACCUAAGCAUUUGACUUUCAAAUUCUCUACAAAAUUUAUAAAAAAAAGAUCCGUUUCAAACCUCUGGUCGGAGUUUGAACGUUAGUUACGGGAGCAGCUUCUACUAACGUUUCCACAACUUCGUCAGUUGUUUGGCUUUUUAGUAGUCCAGCCACGGAUGCAGCAAGAGCUCGGUCCACUAACCCGCCCAGUCAAUAAUUAUAGGCUCUUUUUUAACGUUUGCAUUGACACAGUCGAAAUAACAAAUUACCGUCACGCCUCUCAGCGACUUGGGCAUUUCGUUCGGCCACAUGUUCGGCCAUAGAUUGCCGAAUCGCUUCAUUGAUGUCUUCUUCGGAAAACUCAUCGUUAGACGCGUUCCGACUCUCAAUGCUCGGAUGCCCAGGAUGAUCACGCUUUCGGCGCAGCAUUUCAAGAGCUUCGUUGUGCAACUGCUCAUUUUUAGAGCGCAUCAAUGCUUUGAAACGAUCGUAAUCGCCGGCGGAUUGUACGGGCUCCAGCAGUUGCUUCAAGUGAUUUUGUGUAUACCUGUAAAGCUGCCGACCGGACGGAAGGCUGGAUUCGACUCAAGGCUAAUUCCAGGUGUUCCGGCUGAAGGCCUAAAUCGUCCAUGUAGGCACCCAGCAUAACAUCCACCUUGCAACCAGAGAAUGUUAAUUAUCUCUAGGUCGAUUGAUCAGCCGAACUAUAAACUCAAAAAGUUGGAGUCAUAGUAGAGAUAUCACCCACCAAAUUGCGAAAUUCCUUGUGGAUUCCUUGAUAUUCAUCCUCGAACUCGGCACCAUCACCUUCAAAUACUUUCAACAUAACAAAGAGUUAAAUUUAUCACUAUUCAGUGGGAGAAGAAUGAUUGGACUCGUGUUUUAACACACCGACGGACUUUUGCUCCACGAAAUUCAGAAUAGGAGUAAUCCAAACAGGUCCUUGCAGAUAAGCUACCAACGAAUCGAGGAUCCAAUCAGCGUUAUUUUCUUCGGGAACAUCGUCUGUUGCUUCCAUUGCUGAAGAAGGUAGUGUACAAAGCUUCUGAAACUGACAGAUCACAUCCACAAUUGGUACCCUCCUUCGGGAAAUCGGACUGCUGGACUGUGGGUUGGCAGCGCGAUCCAUGUUAUGAGUUGCCAUGACAACCAAACAAUAACAAACUCUCACUAAGGUAAUAGUUGCUGGCAGGGCGGACGCUAUUUGCCUUCUCCUUCUUCUGAAGAAUCAGAACGCCGCUAUAAAGUGGAAUUAAUGGCAAAUUAGAUUAAGACUACAUCGCAGUAAUAUGCAUGAGAAAGACAUACACGAAUGCCAUUAAUAGAAUGAUUUCAAUGCCCAUCUCAACGAGAAAAACGGUUGCAGAAAACAAGUCCCGAGUUGCUUUGUACAACGAAUCGAAGCUGACCAACGCAAUAAGAGGAACAAUCGAUUCUAAGACAGCAACAAAUGAAUAGACGUGACCUAUAGUCAUAAGAAAACACUUACUGAUUUCAUCGGCUUUCACCAAUUUGGAGAGCAGUGAUCUGAUGACCACGGUAAUUCCCAACGACAAAACAUGACCAAGCGUGGCUAUCAAAGAAAAGACUUCAUCAGCAAAAUCAAAUUAAAGCUGAAACAAAAUCUUUGUCUGGCCAGAGCUAGAAUUACAGAGAUACACGAUCGUUGAAGAUGCGGCGAAAGCUAUAAAUAGGUAAGACAACACUUUGCCACUUGACGACAAAAUGCCAAUUAAAGUGUCCGAGAAUCUCAAAUAAUCUGAGAGAAGAGGCAAGAGGAGAAGAGUUCCUAAAACCGAUCAAAAGAUGUUGACUGACACACUCAUUUUUUUUUUAAACGUCCGCGUUUACCAAGGAUUUCCACAAAUGAAAAACUAGCCGUGUACAAAGUAAAGUCAGAAUGAUUCCAGGAAAAGUAGUCUCUCGUGUAAAGGUAAGCAGCGCCGUAGUGGGCUGCAAACAAAAAAUUCAAACCUUAUCUAGUCCGAUCAUUGCACUUCGUUUUAGUUUGAUUUGUUCUUUACUAACCGUACGAAAAACAAUUCAAGAAAAAGCAGAACAUCAAACAAAAAAUGAAAGUGCGUUCGUAUCCUUUCCGUCGUUUAAAAGCGAUGACGGACCACUGCCGCACAUUCUUCAGAAUGGAUUCACAGUUGCAUUUUUCUGAGAGUGAUUCUCUUAUUGCUUGUUCUGCUUCCUUUGCUGAAGUGGAUUUUAUCACAAUAAGCCGAGUGAAUCGAUUUUUCGCUGGUUGGCCUCGUGAAUCACGAACAAAGAAAAACAGGUAAAUCAAUGAUAAGGCAUAGAAACCAAGUGCGCUCAACCAAAUGGCCAGGUAACCGCCUAGAUUGUAUAUAACGGCACUAAUCACUUGUGAUGAAAUCUGCACAGCCAUCGCAAUAACACCGGCCAUGAUAGCCAGUCGGAGCGUCCUGAUUUCUUCCAGCGUUACAUCCACAAUGUAACUGCCCAUAACAAAGGUAGCUCUGCCCCCUAGGACACCUAUUGACAUGUCUCCGAAAAGAAGAAAUUCAGCUGGAAGCGAAUCCGCGAAAUAAUUUGCCAUGAGGAUUAAGGUGGAUAUUAUUUGACCAAUGACAGGAGCAACCAUCAAGAAUUUCGUUCCAUACUGAUUGCUGAGUGGUCCGAAUAAUAAGACAAAGAGGGCUGAAAGGAUGUGAUUAAUCAGUGAGCCGUAAAUAUUCAAGAUGCUGGCAUAACUUUCGAUGUGAUCCGAUGUUUCCAGAGUACUUUGUUUGGAAACCGAAUGCGUUUGAUUACUACCAUAGCAAUCACUUAAAUUUAAAUUGAAGCCAUAAUGGCUUCUGCAGACUUUGUAGGAAAGUAUGUAUUGUUUAGGGACAGACUGUGGGCAAACAAGAAUUAGGUUGAUUAACAAAACAAGACGGUAGAGUUUGGAGAAUUUUACCUGUAUAACAGUUGCCAUGACGAAGAGAAAUCCAAAAGGUUCGAUCGUGAUAUGUAGCUUCUGGAGUGUUACGCUUAUCCACAUUAUUACCUUUCGAUAGGUUGACAUCAUUUUCGUUCUAUUUCUGAUGCAAGCACAAAGGAUAGCUAUAAAAACUCUGUGGGUCAAGACCCCGUUCUCACAUGUCCCACUAAUAGAAUACGAUCAAGGUGGCUCCAACAGUGAUUCCUCACGAUUGUUUCAACCAUUCUCAUUCCCUUCCUUAAUAUACAGAUCGAAGAUUUAA